AUUGAACGCUGGCGGCAUGCCUAACACAUGCAAGUCGCGCGGGCGGUAGCAAUACCGUUAGCGGCGGACGGGUGAGGAACACAUAGGAAUUUGCCUUUAGGUGGGGGAUAGCCCAGGGAAACUUGGAGUAAUACCGCAUGAUGUCGCAAGACCAAAGCAGGGGAUCGCAAGACCUUGCGCCUUUAGAGGAGUCUAUGUCUGAUUAGCUAGUUGGUAGGGUAAUGGCCUACCAAGGCGACGAUCAGUAACUGGUCUGAGAGGACGAUCAGUCACACUGGAACUGAGACACGGUCCAGACUCCUACGGGAGGCAGCAGUGGGGAAUAUUGGACAAUGGGCGCAAGCCUGAUCCAGCAAUGUCGCGUGUGUGAAGAAGGCCUUCGGGUUGUAAAGCACUUUAGGCCGGGAAGAAAAAAUCAGGGCUAAUAUCCUUGAUCUUGACGGUACCGGAAGAAUAAGCACCGGCUAACUCUGUGCCAGCAGCCGCGGUAAUACAGAGGGUGCGAGCGUUAAUCGGAUUUACUGGGCGUAAAGCGUGUGUAGGUGGUUGUUCAAGUCGGUUGUGAAAUCCCUGGGCUUAACCUGGGAACUGCUUCCGAGACUGAGCGACUAGAGUACGGUAGAGGGCGGUGGAAUUUCCGGUGUAGCGGUGAAAUGCGUAGAUAUUGGAAGGAACACCAAUGGCGAAGGCAGCCGCCUGGGCCUGUACUGACACUGAGAC
rnacentral:rRNA from 1 species